rnacentral:rRNA from 1 species
GACGAACGCUGGCGGCGUGCCUAAUACAUGCAAGUAGAACGCUGAAGCUUGGUGCUUGCACCGAGCGGAUGAGUUGCGAACGGGUGAGUAACGCGUAGGUAACCUGCCUGGUAGCGGGGGAUAACUAUUGGAAACGAUAGCUAAUACCGCAUAACAGUAGAUAUCGCAUGAUAGCUACUUGAAAGGUGCAAAUGCACCACUACCAGAUGGACCUGCGUUGUAUUAGCUAGUUGGUGAGGUAACGGCUCACCAAGGCAACGAUACAUAGCCGACCUGAGAGGGUGAUCGGCCACACUGGGACUGAGACACGGCCCAGACUCCUACGGGAGGCAGCAGUAGGGAAUCUUCGGCAAUGGACGGAAGUCUGACCGAGCAACGCCGCGUGAGUGAAGAAGGUUUUCGGAUCGUAAAGCUCUGUUGUAAGAGAAGAACGAGUGUGCGAGUGGAAAGUUCACACUGUGACGGUAUCUUACCAGAAAGGGACGGCUAACUACGUG